AAAAUUCCAAUAUGCGAAAGUUUCUCAGAUUAUUCGCUGUUGUCCUUGUAAUUGUGCAAAUAUAGACAGUCAACACACAACCAACUGAUAGCAACAACAAGUUACUUAACAAAAUUGAAAACAAAGAAAAUUCCCUAUCAGUUAUAUUAAGUGAAAUGCAAAAAAUCCAGUUGAAUACCGCUAACAUUGAAUUGAAAUUAAAGCAAAGUGAUGAGAUUAUCGCUAAGCAAAAUGUUGAGUUGGAAAACAAAUUAAGACUCUUGAAUACUGAAAUAGAUGAACUUUUAAAGAAUAAAGAACAAGUUGCCGAUUAUAAAGAUCAAGUUACGAAGUUGCAAUCAACCAUCAAUAUAAAAAAUGAAGAAAUAUCAAAGUUGAAGUCGGGAAAAGGAAGAGGAUUAUCUAGAAAUUACUAUGUUGAAGUCUGCAGCUGAAAAGCAAAAUAGCGAAAUAGAAAUGCUGAAAAAUGAACAAAAGGAAAACCAAGAGCAAAUUGUGAGAACAUCGUUCAUAGAAACGGAAUUAGAUCGCUGUAAAUAUGACACUAUGGAUAGCCAACAUAAACUUGCCGACUUGGAAAAAACACUAAGCACACUACAAACCGAGUUUAAAUACUGCUAUUC